GUCUACAGACAUGCCACCCUGAACAAGCCUGAUCCCAUCUGAUCUCGGAAGCUAAGCAGGGUUGGGCCUGGUUAGUACUUGGAUGGGAGACCACCUAGGAAGACCAGGUGUUGUAGGCA
rnacentral:rRNA from 1 species